rnacentral:rRNA from 1 species
CAGCCGCCACGGUAAUACAGAGGGUGCGAGCGUUAAUCGGAUUUACUGGGCGUAAAGCGUGCGUAGGCGGCUUUUUAAGUCGGAUGUGAAAUCCCUGAGCUUAACUUAGGAAUUGCAUUCGAUACUGGGAAGCUAGAGUAUGGGAGAGGAUGGUAGAAUUCCAGGUGUAGCGGUGAAAUGCGUAGAGAUUUGGAGGAAUACCGAUGGCGAAGGCAGCCAUCUGGCCUAAUACUGACGCUGAGGUACGAAAGCAUGGGGAGCAAACAGGAUUAGAUACCCCCGUAGUCCCUGUCUCUUAUAC